CGGAGCAUGCGGAUUAAUUCGAUGCAACGCGAAGAACCUUACCAAGGCUUGACAUACACCGGUAACGCCCAGAGAUGGGUGCCCCUUUGUGGUCGGUGGACAGGUGGUGCAUGGUUGUCGUCAGCUCGUGUCGUGAGAUGUUGGGUUAAGUCCCGCAACGAGCGCAACCCUCGUCCUAUGUUGCCAGCGGGUCAUGCCGGGGACUCAUGGGAGACUGCCGGGGUCAACUCGGAGGAAGGUGGGGAUGACGUCAAAUCAUCAUGCCCCUUAUGUCUUGGGCUUCACGCAUGCUACAAUGGCCGGUACAAAGGGCUGCGAUACCGCGAGGUGGAGCGAAUCCCAGAAAGCCGGUCUCAGUUCGGAUUGGGGUCUGCAACUCGCCUACAUGAAGUCGGAAUCGCUAGUAAUCGCGGAUCAGCACGCCGCGGUGAAUACGUUCCCGGGCCUU
rnacentral:rRNA from 1 species